GCGGGCUUGGCGAAAUGGUAGACGCAAGGGACUUAAAAUCCCUCGAACUUUGUUCGUGCGGGUUCGAGUCCCGCAGCCCGUACCA
rnacentral:tRNA from 1 species